UACGUAGGGACCGAGCGUUGUCCGGAAUCAUUGGGCGUAAAGAGCGUGUAGGCGGCCUUUUAAGUCCUGCGUGAAAUCCUGCGGCUCAACCGCAGACGGUCGUGGGAAACUGGAAGGCUAGAGUGCGGGAGAGGAGAGUGGAAUUCCCGGUGUAGCGGUGAAAUGCGCAGAUAUCAGGAGGAACACCGAUGGCGAAGGCAGCUCGCUGGGACGGUACUGACGCUGAGACGCGAAAGCGUGGGGAGCGAACAGG
rnacentral:rRNA from 1 species